AGUGAACGCUGGCGGUAGGCCUAACACAUGCAAGUCGAACGGCAGCACAGUAAGAGCUUGCUCUUACGGGUGGCGAGUGGCGGACGGGUGAGGAAUACAUCGGAAUCUACUUUUUCGUGGGGGAUAACGUAGGGAAACUUACGCUAAUACCGCAUACGACCUACGGGUGAAAGCAGGGGAUCUUCGGACCUUGCGCGAUUGAUGGAGCCGAUGUCGGAUUAGCUAGUUGGCGGGGUAAAGGCCCACCAAGGCGACGAUCCGUAGCUGGUCUGAGAGGAUGAUCAGCCACACUGGAACUGAGACACGGUCCAGACUCCUACGGGAGGCAGCAGUGGGGAAUAUUGGACAAUGGGCGCAAGCCUGAUCCAGCCAUACCGCGUGGGUGAAGAAGGCCUUCGGGUUGUAAAGCCCUUUUGUUGGGAAAGAAAAGCAGCAGGUUAAUACCCCGCUGUUCUGACGGUACCCAAAGAAUAAGCACCGGCUAACUUCGUG
rnacentral:rRNA from 1 species